rnacentral:misc_RNA from 1 species
GAUGAAGAACGUAGCGAAUUGCGAUACGUAAUGUGAAUUGCAGAAUUCAGUGAAUCAUCGAAUCUUUGAACGCAUAUUGCGCUCUCUGGUAUUCCGGAGAGCAUGCUUGUUUGAGUAUCAGUAAACACCUCAACUCCCUUUUCUUUUUUGAAAUUGGAGCUGGACUUGAGUGAUCCCAACGCUUUCUUCCAAGAAAGUGGCGGGUUGCUUGAAAUGCAGGUGCAGCUGAACUUUUCUCUGAGCUAUAAGCAUAUCUAUUUAGUCUGCCUAAAAAACAGAUUAUUACCUUUGCUGCAGCUAACAUAAAGGAGACUAGUUCUUGUGCUGACUGAUGCAGGAUUCACAGAGACAGCUUCGGCUGACUUUGUAAACUCGAUCUCAAAUCAAGUAAGACUACCCGCUGAACUUAAGCAUAUCAAUAAGCGGAGGA